AAAUGAAACCCUAGCACUAUUUCAGAUUUCUACAGUCUCUCACUCCUCUACUGUUCUUCUUCUGGUCUUCUUCACAAAACUUUUGUUUUACUGUUCUUCAAGUCUUCUUCUAGGCUUCUUCGAGUCUUCAUUUAGUGACUAUGUGGUUCAAUCAUGAAGUUGAAGGUGCAGGAUGAAGUUGAAAGUCCAUUGCAGAGUGAAAGCCCUGAACUUUCUCCAGGAACACAAAAUUCUGAUACACUUAUUAAUUAGACUUUGGAGUCCUCUACUGAAUUAGUCAUUACAAGUUUGAACAUUGUGUUGUUAAUGAUGUUAAUUUUGAACAUCACAAAAUUGUAAUGAUGUUAAUUUUUAACAUGUAUACAAUAUUAUCCUAUGGUUAUGUAAUGAUUUAAUUUUAAUUUGCUGCCUA